AUGUUACUGCUACCACAAAGGGAAAUUCAUGUGGGGGUGGACAUCUCCAGAGACCUCACUCACCUGUGAUUUGGGGGAUAAUAGCAUCACUCAUGUGUUCACGUGCCAGGCCUGUCACCCCGGAACAUUAGUCAAAGGGCUGUGUUGACAGUGAUUUCAACUCUUGAAUUAUACGAAGGACCUGGCCGCAAGAAGGCAUUGAGCCCCGAGGAGGACAACAGGCCUCAGCUCUUGGCACCAAGUAACUAUGAAGACUCUGAGAACUGGACCAUCCCAAGGCUGUAGCU
rnacentral:lncRNA from 1 species